ensembl:lncRNA
AGAUUAGAGAGGCUGCCCCUAAUCCGGCCUGCUGGGUUUUACAAGGAUCAGAGCCGCUGAUAAUGAACCUCAUUAAGGGGGAGCAGGAGCCUCAAUCCGAUUUGGGGUUUUCUCUUUGACAUCUUGCUCUGCUCAGAUGGCCUCGGCACCGGGCGGAGCAGGUGGGGUGCCAGGCCUGCUCCUCUGCUAGGGCAGCCGGGUGGGGAGGGGUUGGCCCCACUUCCCUGCUUUGAUAGCCCUGGGUCACCUCUUUAGCUGCCUGACUGCACGAGUGGAUGGCGGCUUGGAGCCUCUCUGCAGGCCUCUCAUCUUCCCCAGAGUUCCCUCUCUGUGUCCCCACUCUAGUCAUCCACCUGCCUGCCCCAUCCGCCCAGGCCGUCUCUGCUCAUCUUCCCCUGACCCACCGGGCCCUGGUUGAGAGGCUGACAGGCCCACAAGAGGGUGAAAGAGGCUCCCAGCCCCCGCCGGGCCAAGACCACUUGAGUACGCCUGUACCUCCACCACCUGGUACCUGACUUGAUGCCAGGAGCAGAGGAUUUCUACCAGACGGCCCUUACGGCUCCAGUGACCAUAUUUUCUAAAACCAAGCUCAGGCGUUCAGAAUUAGAACUAGGCUGAAAAAGCUGACUCUGCGACUACCCCCGGUGCCCAAGGCAGGGGGUAGGGCCUCACUUGGGGCCACGGGGGGCCCUGGUGGUGGUUGUGGGUCUCUGUCCUCACCUUGGCCCCUGGCAGACAGCCUGAGCAGCUUUCCACCCUGUCCCAGUCCCUCUGAUUGAUACACAGGGGUGGGCCUCCUGAGCAGGACUGCUGCCUUUCACCUUGAUUUCCCCAGGGCUCUCAGCAGCAUCAGCAUCGAUAAACCGGCUUCGCCCACCAGCUGGUCCCCUCCCCCACCCAGGCUGCCAGCCUGGAAGCCGGGGCUUCUGUGAUUUGAGCACCGCCCACCUGUCCUUCCAAGUUGUUUUCUGUACCUUAGGAGAGCUCCCCUGCAGGAGAGGGUCCUCAGAGGACCCCUGCAAAAUAAAGGGUCCUCAUUCCAGGGUCUGACAAACUCACCUCUGCCUGGUGUCAUCUGUACCUAUGCAGGGCUGGGACAGGGAGGAGGGGGCCUAGCCAGUACCAGUCAUGGGUACCAGACAGGGAGGAAGAAGUCUAGAAGUCACCAGACGAAGGAGCAGUUCCCCACAGGCGGUCGCAGAGCGGCAAGUGUUAAACGUGGCCUUCAUGGCGGAUUACCCACAUAAAGGAAGCUGUCACCUCCAGGCGUCAGGGAGAGCCUGGGGCUAAUUCUGCUUCUUCCUGGGAGAAUUCCUCUCUGUGUGCAGCCUGUGGCCUGAGCAACCCUUCCUGUCACGGCUGCCC